rnacentral:rRNA from 1 species
GAACGCUGGCGGCAGGCCUAACACAUGCAAGUCGAGCGCGCCCUUCGGGGUGAGCGGCGGACGGGUUAGUAACGCGUGGGAAUAUGCCCAAAGGUACGGAAUAGCCUCUGGAAACGGAGAGUAAUACCGUAUGUGCCCUUCGGGGGAAAGAUUUAUCGCCUUUGGAUUAGCCCGCGUUAGAUUAGGUAGUUGGUGGGGUAAUGGCCUACCAAGCCUACGAUCUAUAGCUGGUUUUAGAGGAUGAUCAGCAACACUGGGACUGAGACACGGCCCAGACUCCUACGGGAGGCAGCAGUGGGGAAUCUUGGACAAUGGGGGCAACCCUGAUCCAGCCAUGCCGCGUGAGUGAUGAAGGCCUUAGGGUCGUAAAGCUCUUUCGCCUGUGAAGAUAAUGACGGUAGCAGGUAAAGAAACCCCGGCUAACUCCGUGCCAGCAGCCGCGGUAAUACGGAGGGGGUUAGCGUUGUUCGGAAUUACUGGGCGUAAAGCGCACGUAGGCGGAUCGGAAAGUUGGGGGUGAAAUCCCGGGGCUCAACCCCGGAACUGCCUCCAAAACUAUCGGUCUAGAGUUCGAGAGAGGUGAGUGGAAUUCCGAGUGUAGAGGUGAAAUUCGUAGAUAUUCGGAGGAACACCAGUGGCGAAGGCGGCUCACUGGCUCGAUACU